ACAGCUUUGUGUGGUUAAGGAUCUUUCUGCUCAUGAUGUGGUGAUGCAAUUGAUGCAGAAGGAAAACUACUUGAUUUGAAUGCUUAACAAGGGAGUAUUUGCAUUUCCAAUCUCAAAAUGGGUCCCUGGUGCUGGUCCAACUGUCAAAUCUGGUUCAAAGGGAAAGUGCCGUCGUUUGAUACUGACUAAAACCCUUGAGUGGACCUUAAAUUGGUGCAUACUACAGAGCAUGUUUGAUAGUGGAGUUGGAAGGUUUGAAAAAAGCACACAUUCGAGAUGGCGUUGCAGUGGUGCAAUAUCUUGUCUGGUUGGAUAAGCAGGACCGCUCAAAUAAUGGCAGAGGCUUACGUGUUAUGCCAAUGAACUUAUAUGAGUUUCAAGUUGUUGGCCAUGGCAUGUUCGUUGGAGUUGUUAACUUAGAAAAUAAGACGUGCUCAUGCAAGGAAUUUGAUAUUGAUGGAUUUCCUUGUGUCCAUGCAAUUGCAGCAUGUAAGCAUCGACAUAUCUCUCCAUAUUUCCUUUGCUCGGCGCAUUACUCAGUUGACUCACUCCGUGAUGCAUAUUCGGAAACCAAUAUCCACUUGGAGAUAAAAGUCAGUGGCAUGCUCCAGAUGAUGUCAUAAACCAGGUUGUACUUCCACCUCAAAUUGGCAAACAGUCAGGAAGACCGAGAAAGAAGAGGAUUCAAUCUCAAGGAGAGGAGCGUCAUCAAUAUAGAUGCGGGAGGUGCAAACAGGUUGGUCACAGCAGCCGAUCAUGCUCCACCGUCGUACCU